GAUGAACGCUGGCGGCGUGCCUAAUACAUGCAAGUCGAGCGAACAGACGAGGAGCUUGCUCCUCUGACGUUAGCGGCGGACGGGUGAGUAACACGUGGAUAACCUACCUAUAAGACUGGGAUAACUUCGGGAAACCGGAGCUAAUACCGGAUAAUAUAUUGAACCGCAUGGUUCAAUAGUGAAAGACGGUUUUGCUGUCACUUAUAGAUGGAUCCGCGCCGCAUUAGCUAGUUGGUAAGGUAACGGCUUACCAAGGCAACGAUGCGUAGCCGACCUGAGAGGGUGAUCGGCCACCCUGGAACUGGGACGCGGUCCAGACUCCUACGGGAGGCAGCAGUAGGGAAUCUUCCGCAAUGGGCGAAAGCCUGACGGAGCAACGCCGCGUGAGUGAUGAAGGUCUUCGGAUCGUAAAACUCUGUUAUUAGGGAAGAACAAAUGUGUAAGUAACUAUGCACGUCUUGACGGUACCUAAUCAGAAAGCCACGGCUAACUACGUG
rnacentral:rRNA from 1 species